AUUGAACGCUGGCGGAAUGCUUUACACAUGCAAGUCGAACGGCAGCACGGGAGCUUGCUCCUGGUGGCGAGUGGCGAGCGGGUGAGUAACAUAUCGGAACGUAUCCAAUAAUGGGGGAUAACUAAGCGAAAGCUUGGCUAAUACCGCAUACGCCCUGAGGGGGAAAGCUAGGGAUCUUCGGACCUGGCGUUAAUGGAGCGGCCGAUAUCUGAUUAGCUAGUUGGUGAGGUAAAGGCUCACCAAGGCGACGAUCAGUAGCUGGUCUGAGAGGACGACCAGCCACACUGGAACUGAGACACGGUCCAGACUCCUACGGGAGGCAGCAGUGGGGAAUUUUGGACAAUGGGCGCAAGCCUGAUCCAGCCAUUCCGCGUGAGUGAAGAAGGCCUUCGGGUUGUAAAGCUCUUUCGCAAGGGAAGAAAGAUUACGCUCUAACAUAGCGUGAUUAUGACGGUAUCUUGAUAAGAAGCACCGGCUAACUACGUGCCAGCAGCCGCAGUAAGAC
rnacentral:rRNA from 1 species